rnacentral:rRNA from 1 species
UACGAAGGGGGCGAGCGUUGUUCGGAUUUACUGGGCGUAAAGGGCGCGCAGGCGGCCGCUCAAGUCAGGUGUGAAAGCCCCGGGCUUAACCUGGGAACUGCGUCUGGGACUGAGUGGCUAGAGUUCGGGAGAGGAGAGUGGAAUUCCCAGUGUAGAGGUGAAAUUCGUAGAUAUUGGGAAGAACACCGGUGGCGAAGGCGGCUCUCUGGACCGAGACUGACGCUGAGGCGCGAAAGCGUGGGGAGCAAACAGG